UGGGCAUACACUAGCCCAGCAGCAUGGGACAUGUCCCCAUCUCUGUCCCCAUCCCCAGUGCCCCAGCGAGACACCUAGACCCCCACACUCCUGUCCUUGACCCUCUCCAGCCCUCGUCCCUCCUGCCUCUCCCCCCUCACACUUCUCUCCCAGGGCACCAGGUGCAUCAGGGCCCGUCCCCUGUGCCCUGUUUCUUUACAAUCAAUCUGUGUCCUGUGAGAGCCAAGGUACUCUUGAGCCAACCCCAGGCCUCCCUGAUUUGUCCCCCAGCCCUGAGACCCCAGUCAGAGCCUUUGCAGCGAGGUUGAGGGAAGCAGGUGCACCAUGGGGGUGUUUGGAGCAGGUGGGCACAGUGGACGAGGCCUAGGCAGCCACCCUGGGCACAGCUGUGGCUCGGAUCUUGGAGGGGGCCUUCUGGGUUGGAACCACUGAAACCUGUGGGGGCCCGGCAGUGAGGGAGCAUCCCGUAGGCUGGAACCAAAUCCCAGCCCUGCAGCCUCCUGGCUUGUUGAUGGAAGGCAGGUGCCUCAGCCCUCUGUGCCUCAGUUUCCCCAUCCAGAGUCAACUUUCUCUGGAAAGGCUUUUGUUGUAAACGGAUGGCUUUAUAGGUGGAUGUACACCUACGGGCAAUCAGAAAACCUGACUUCCCCCUGGAAAUGUAAAGUUAAGUCUGAUUCUCACCAAAGAACAGAAAGAAGGGCUCAACAAAGUGAGGGUGCUUCCCAACUCCUUCAGGAAAGUGGACAUCAGGAAUUUUCUUUGUACUUUUAGGUUUUGUGAGAUAGGGUCUCACUGUGUAGUUCAGGCUGGCUGAACUCACUAUGUAGCCCUGGCUGGCCUCAAACUCAUGGUGAUCCUCCUGCCUCAGCCUCCCUAGUGCUAGGAUUAUGGGUAUGCGCAACCAUGCCCGACAAUAUCAGCACUUUGAGAGCAGCUGCCAAGGACAGACUGGGGACAGCUGCUGGCAGCCAGGACCCUGUCUGGCCUGCACAGUUGGUGGGAGGUGUUUUGCAUACCAGGCUGACAGGCUGGUUUCCAGCAAUGCUAGCAGACUUCUUAGCUGCAGUCCGUGGGUCCCCAAGCAGGGGCUGGUGGCGAAGGUGACAUCUCUCCCUGCACAGGUGCUGUCUCUGCCCCAUCGGCGGCUGGUCUGCUACUGCCGGCUCUUUGAGGUUCCCGACCCCAACAAGCCCCAGAAGCUGGGGCUGCAUCAGCGCGAAAUCUUCCUGUUUAACGACCUCCUGGUGGUCACCAAGAUCUUGCAGAAGAAGAAGAACUCGGUGACAUACAGCUUCCGGCAGUCCUUCUCCCUGUAAGGCCUGCAGGUCUUGCUCUUCGAGAACCAGUACUACCCCAAUGGCAUCCGGCUCACGUCUGCUGUGCCUGGGGCAGACACCAAAGUGUUAAUCACCUUCAAUGCCCCCAACCCUCAAGACCGGAAGAAGUUCACCGAUGACCUGCGGGAGUCUGUGGCCGAAGUGCAGGAGAUGGAGAAGCACCGGAUAGAGUGUUAGUCCCAGAGCCGGCAUUCGGGAGGCACCGUCCCUCAGGUUCCCUGGGUCCCCCAGGCUGGCUAGGCUCCCACCUUUGCCUCCCUGUCUCUCACCACAG
rnacentral:lncRNA from 1 species